rnacentral:rRNA from 1 species
UACGUAGGGUGCAAGCGUUGUCCGGAAUUAUUGGGCGUAAAGAGCUCGUAGGCGGUUUGUCGCGUCUGCUGUGAAAACUCGGGGCUUAACCCCGGGCCUGCAGUGGGUACGGGCAGACUAGAGUGCGGUAGGGGAGACUGGAAUUCCUGGUGUAGCGGUGAAAUGCGCAGAUAUCAGGAAGAACACCUAUGGCGAAGGCAGCUCUCUGGGACGGUACUGACGCUGAGACGCGAAAGCGUGGGGAGCGAACAGG